AGUUAUUAAAAUUUAUUAAAAUGCUUGAGAAAUAUUUUGCGACUGCGACCAGUCAAGAAUUAAGAGUUUAUUAAAAUGUUUUUUUUUUAUUCAUUGCGUUGCUUGGUGUUGAGGAACGAAACAAAGUUUUUUUCUAGAAGUGGUUAACUAUUUCGCCUAAGACGGUCAACUAUCGGAUAAUCAUAAGUUUUUUACAUUGGAUAAUAUAAGGAGAAUAUAAAAAAUGGACGACAGAUUUGUACAGGGUACGUCGAAGGAUUCGAAAGCGAAAGUCCAACCAACUGCUCGGAAGAAGUUCCAUGCAAGCACUCCAUAUGAAAGACAGCCAAGUAAAAGUAAAACAAUCUGUGGAUACGAAAACAUUCCCGCAGAAAACAAUACAGAAGCCCUGUCCCUUUUAAAAAUCAUUAUAAAAAAGCAAGAAUCAAUUGAAAAACGGAUCGCGCAAAUAGAGAACAGCGUUUUCAACACAGAAUCCGUAAUAUUAAAAGAUAUUAUUCAAAGGAGCCAAGCUAUGGCUAAAAACAAAAAUAUACGAGAGCAGAAGGUAAUAUUAAAAAAGUUCCAUUCAGAUCGUCCUAUGUUUGGGGAGAUAGAAGACGUCACUAUUGAAGAGAUCGCGUCAAAAUUUCCUCUUGUAACAAUGGAUGCUCUUUUGGAAGUGGAGGAGAAACUAAAUAUGAAACAGUAUAACAAGUCAAUGGUUGCGUUCAUACAUAAGUUGAAGGAUACAUGCAACAGCGUCGAUGGAGUCCUUCGUCGGAUUUUUACAGACACUCUAAUAGAAAAUUUUAAUUGGGAUGGACGAUGGGGAAAAAAUCCGCUCAAUACUUUAAAAAUAAUUAAUCAAAUUGUGUUUGAGACGUUCCAGUCUGACGGAAAAACGUUUGAGCUGAACGUAAGAAAAUAUGUGGAACUUUCCCGCAACCGUCUGAAGCAAAAAGUUAGAGCGCAUACUAAAAACAUAAAACGACAAGAGUUUUAUCUGGGUUAUCCAUAACGCGAAAAUCAUAAUAAAGGAUAACUCCUUUAAUUUAUAAAAAUCCACAGGCACAAUUUAUUUUCUCGUAAGAAAUAAAAAAAGGAAGGACGUGCUGAAAAAGGGAAUUUCUUAUCAUAAUUUUUAAAUAUUUGGAUGAAAUAAUUCUCCUUCUGACUUCAGUUAAAAACAAAUGCGUUAAUUUUAAACCCAUACAUUAUGCUUAAGGAAAUUACAUCUGUUCAUGUUACAUAUAUUUAUGUAAGAUUAAACAUUCAUUCAUUAAUAGAAAAACAUGUACAUGUAUCCACGAAAUUCUUUUAAAAAUGCAGCAUAUAGCAAGAGACGCACUUAUGUAUAACAAUAAUACAAUGCAUGGAGAAUAUCGUGUAAAUACUGUCCUAAAAGUAAAUGAACUAAAUAUAAAUAAUUUGUUGAAAAGCAAAAAAGAGAAUGUUUGUAAUUUAUUAUUAAGUAAUAGCUUCCAGUUUUUUAAAUAAUGUCUUACCACAAGCAGGGGUGGUUGUUUCCUUUGCUCUGGGCUAGAGUUAAGUUCCCAACUUGUAUCUCAAACAAGUUUUGUCUAAUGGUCAUUAAACUUCGACAUGUAUGUUAAACCUGUCAUUAAAAAAUUAAAUAAAUAGACCUUUGAUAGUGGAUUUAA
rnacentral:misc_RNA from 1 species